GGUGUUGUGGCCGAGUGGUCCAAGGCGCUACGUUCAGGUCGUAGUCUGUGUAUGCAGGCGUGGGUUCGAACCCCACCGACACCA